AUUACCCAAUCCUGACACAGGGAGGUAGUGACAAGAAAUAACAAUACGGGGCUUAAUGUCUUGUAAUUGGAAUGAUGGGAAUUUAAACCUCUUCCAGAGUAUCAAUUGGAGGGCAAGUCUGGUGCCAGCAGCCGCGGUAAUUCCAGCUCCAAUAGCGUAUAUUAAAAUUGUUGCAGUUAAAAAGCUCGUAGUUGAAUUUCUGCUGCAUUGCUUGUGUCCCUCCGGGGUCUGUGCAUGUGGCUUUUUUCGGACGGAGUUUCUUUGUCUGAAUGUUUACUUUGAGAAAAUUAGAGUGCUCAAAGCAGGCUUUUGCCUUGAAUAGUUUAGCAUGGAAUAAUAAAGUAGGACUUUGGUUCUAUUUUGUUGGUUUUAGGUACCAAAGUAAUGGUUAAUAGGAACAGUUGGGGGCAUUCGUAUUUAA
rnacentral:rRNA from 1 species